rnacentral:rRNA from 1 species
GUGGGGAAUAUUGCACAAUGGGCGCAAGCCUGAUGCAGCAACGCCGCGUGAGGGAUGACGGCCUUCGGGUUGUAAACCUCUUUUAGUAGGGAAGAAGCGAAAGUGACGGUACCUGCAGAAAAAGCACCGGCUAACUACGUGCCAGCAGCCGCGGUAAUACGUAGGGUGCAAGCGUUGUCCGGAAUUAUUGGGCGUAAAGAGCUCGUAGGCGGCUUGUCGCGUCUGCUGUGAAAUCCCGGGGCUCAACCCCGGGCCUGCAGUGGGUACGGGCAGGCUAGAGUGCGGUAGGGGAGAUUGGAAUUCCUGGUGUAGCGGUGGAAUGCGCAGAUAUCAGGAGGAACACCGAUGGCGAAGGCAGAUCUCUGGGCCGCUACUGACGCUGAGGAGCGAAAGCGUGGGGAGCAAACAGGAUUAGAAACCCCGGUAGUCC